CAGCCAUAUAACGUAGAAACACUAGUUCUCAUCCAAUCACUAAAGUUAAGCAAUGUUGAGCCUGGUCAGUACCUAGGUGAGUAAACACACAGGAAUAUCAGGUGCUGUAA